CAGAAAUCUGGGUAAGGAAUUCUGUUAAUCUGAGAGAAGGUGUUAGGUAUUCCAGGAUUCCGUGGUUUUAGCACGGUCGCUUUGAUCAUAUUUGGCUUAUUAAAAUUGCCUAAUUACUUAUUUAAAAACCAAUGUGCUUUACCUCUUUUAAUUAAGAAAUUAUCCAAAAACGAGUCACGCGUAGGUGUACUCAUUUCGUUUGGCGCGUAAAAAAUCAUGUCACGUGAACGUGUCCACAAUCAAUCACGCUUUAUUAAUAUUAUUAAGAAAGUUUGGCCGAAGUUGCGCGAACGCAUACCUCAAUUUAUUUUUUUAGAAUCAUAAUCAUGGCACGCGAACGUGCACACAAUCACGAUGAGAGAUUAAGUCGCGCCUAGAGCAUUUUCUACGAAUAUUUAUUUUUAAAUCAUAAUCAUGUCACGCGAACAUGUAUACAAUCACGAUAAUAGAUUUACAAAUGAACUCCAUAGACAUUAACACUUACUCAAACUUUCACGGAUCUAAGCUAAUGAUAGGAGCCUUCUGUCAAGAUCUUAAUGCACACUUUCUGGUAUCAUAUCAACGAAUCUCCAUAACCUAUAGUAGCAUCAAUAAGAGUAUUAUUUUUACAAACAAUAUUAAAAUGGCCUUAUCCUAUCAAACUAAGAAUUUCAUCCAUACUCCUAUUCUCCAACCCUUUUUUCCUUCGUUCAUUUUAGUAGAAAUAUUAAUGAUGACGAACGAUUGGGUGUGUGUAGCGCUACUCAUCUUUAUCUGUUUCUUUAAAUGCAGUGAAACCAGUUUAACCCAGUAACCUCUAAUCAUUUAGGAACUAAAUGUAUUAUAUCUACUAACAGUAAACAAAGAAACUUCCUUUAUAUUUUGCCCAUCACAAAACAAAAAUUGACGCCAUAUUUUAAACUCAAUAAAGGAUAAAUGUUAACAAUAAAGAAAGGAAAAGACUUCAAGCUUAACACAAAAGCUGGCAGCGAAUCAACAAACUCAAAUAGACUAAAGUUAUGCCUUUAAUUGCACAUAGUAGUGAACAUUAAAUAAACCAAACAUUCCAAAUAAAGCUAAGUAAAGAAACGGACCUCAAAUGGCUGAAAAUUAAUUAUUUCACAUGCUUUAAACUGAAAAUAUAACGAAUGACGGACGGAACUCGAAUCGGUACGGGAAAGCUAAAAACCGACGGAAUUUAGAAUUGACACGGGAAGACUCAACCCAAACACGGAUUCAAACCCACAUCUCAAUCAAAGUCCAUUCUUGAACACAGUCCAGAAUCGAAAAAUAAGAAAUAGAAAAUAUGUAUUCUUUAUAUAUUUUUCAAAUUUCAAAGAACAAGUGAAGAUCUGCAAAAAUGGGUUCCUCGAGCCUCACUGCUAUUCUCUUGAUUUCUGUCCAGAGCCUUAGCUUCCGACAUUCGACGAACUCGGAGAUCUCCGGAAAACUCGAAUUAAAUUAAAACAAUGAAAUCAAUUGACUCUGCGAUAGUUAUUAGCUAUUUGGAGCUACUUCAUACUAUUUGGUGUGCUUUGUGGGUGAAUUUCGCAGUCCCAAAAGUCAGGUGAGUGGCGUGAGGAUUUUUGGAGAUGGAGAUUUGGUGGCCGCUUUCAGGUGGUCUGGCGGAUGUUCCUACCGUUAGGUCUUGGAGAAGAAAAGGAACAGCCAUUGUUUCUCUUUCUCUUCUGAAAAUGGGGGUGGGCGGCGGAUAUUUUGGUGGUGUUGAAGAGGUCAGGGGUCGCCGCUACUUCUUUUAGUUGAAGAAGAUCAGGAAUCGAUUGGGUGGGAGGGUUAUUUUCAGUGUAACGACGGGUAGGGCUCUCUAGGUAUCUAGGUUAGUUUUGUAGGGUUUUUUAGGUUAAGGGGUAUGAGCCUAGGAAUUAUGGGCUAGGUU
rnacentral:lncRNA from 1 species